UUAACGGCACCAAGAACACGGGUGGAGAGGAUGGCCACCGUGAUAUAUCUUGUUAGGCCCAACACUGUUUCCUGCCCUUGCUCCGUUACCCGACUUGUCCGCUUCCGCUUCCGCUUCGUCCUCUCCGAGGCCUACGAUCUCGUCGGUCGCGGUGGUGUGGGCCGAGCGAACGCCAAGAGCCGCUCUGGCUUCGUCCGCCAAGUCAAUGCUUAUCGUUGUUUGAUCAAUGAACUUGUGGAUGAAUGAAUUUGUUUAUGGGGAGGUAAUUUCUGUCUUGGAACUUCAGCGUUGCCAUUUCCUCAAACUGAUGAAAGGCUAUAGAUGUAAAAAGAUAGAUGGAUUUGACCCUGUUAGGGCUUGGUGGCCUUCGGCAGAGUAAAAUGACGGCAGUAAAUAGUGUUGUUUGUUCAAAUUCUGCUUAAGGAGAUCAUAUUGGUGCUGGUUACUCAAGCUAUUUGUUAGCUAACUUUUUGUUAGCUUUAAUGCAAGCAUAAAUGAUCAAGGGUUUUUUCAGUUUUGGAAGGAUUUUGAGGAAGAACAUGUGUCGGAUGAAAUGAGCUCCAAAUCAACAAAUAGUCCUGCGAAGUAUUAAGCAUAAUAAAGAUGGUUGGUGAUGCAGGUAGUUCUAUUGGUUCAAGUGAGGGAAGUGCAUAGAGAGUUCUAGUAACUAAUCCUCUUGAAUCUUAUUGGCGCUGAUGUGAUUCUUCUUUCUUGUUUCAAUUGGUAAAAACUUUCUUA